rnacentral:rRNA from 1 species
GACGAACGCUGGCGGCGUGCUUAAUACAUGCAAGUCGAACGAACAGGCCCUGCGUUUGCGGGGUGCUUGUGAGGGGAGCAGGGGAGAAACACAUGAGUAUACCGUCCCUGUAUUUGGGAGAUCUUCAGGGAACUGGGGCUAUAACCCGGUAGGAGAUUCUGAUCCGUGGGGGGGAUUGGAGAGAUUCGGCCGUUGGGGCUGGAAUCGCGGCUUAUCAGCUGGUUGGGGGGGUAGGUGCUUACCAGGGCUUUGAAGGGUAGCCGGCCUGAGAGGGUGACCGGCCACAUUGGGACUGAGAUACGGCCCAGACUCCUACGGGAGGCAGCAGGGGGGAAUAUUGCACAAUGGGCGGAAGCCUGAUGCAGCAACGCCGCGUGCGGGAUGACGGCUUUCGGGUUGUAAACCGCUUUCGCCUGUGACGAGGCGUAAGUGACGGUAAUGGGUAAAGAAGCACCGGCUAACUACGUG